AUCCUUUGGUGGUGCAUAAGCGUGAUAAUUGGGUGUUCACGCGCAUGCAUGACAUGUGCGGCCCUCGAACCUUGUUACAGUACCGGCACAUUACCCGUCUGACG